rnacentral:tRNA from 1 species
UCCCUGAUGGCUUAGAUGGUAAAGAAUUUGCCUGCAAUGCGGGAGACCUGGGUUCAAUUCCUGGAUUGGGAA